AACGAACGCUGGCGGCAGGCCUAACACAUGCAAGUCGAGCGAGAUCUUCGGAUCUAGCGGCGGACGGGUGAGUAACGCGUGGGAACGUGCCCCUUGGUACGGAAUAGCCCCGGGAAACUGGGAGUAAUACCGUAUGAGCUCUACGGAGGAAAGAUUUAUCGCCAAGGGAUCGGCCCGCGUUGGAUUAGGUAGUUGGUGGGGUAAUGGCCUACCAAGCCGACGAUCCAUAGCUGGUUUGAGAGGAUGAUCAGCCACACUGGGACUGAGACACGGCCCAGACUCCUACGGGAGGCAGCAGUGGGGAAUCUUAGACAAUGGGCGCAAGCCUGAUCUAGCCAUGCCGCGUGAGCGAUGAAGGCCUUAGGGUUGUAAAGCUCUUUCAGCGAGGAAGAUAAUGACUGUACUCGCAGAAGAAGCCCCGGCUAACUCCGUGCCAGCAGCCGCCGUAACAC
rnacentral:rRNA from 1 species